AGAGAGACGCGCUGCCUGGGGAGGGCUUCGCGGAGCCCGUCUGUGGGUGACCGGGGGGCUCCGCUGUGCCCCGGCUGCGAUUUUAUGGUCCCCGUGUAACGGUGGUACUGCUGGAUCUGCCACGAUCCCAGAGUGAGGCGUUUGCCCUUGACUGCUCGAACUGAACCCAUUUCCAGCCCCGGCCAGGCCAGGAUGGUUUGGGCUGCACUGCGGGGUGUUCCCUGGACAUCAGGGCACGGUCUUGGCAUUCAAACCCCCAGAGUGGAUGGCUGGUGGACUGUCUGAAUUUCCUGGGGUUCUCCAAAGAGGGGAAAUGAGACAAGAUGCUCGUUACUGCCCUGGUCACUGUGAGUAAGAGGAGGCAGGAGGAGAGGCACCUGCAUUGGCUGCACCUGUUGCCUGGGUUUGUCAGCAGUUGCUUCUGGUUCUCAGCUUCAGCUGUUGGCAGUUACUUUGAAGAACAGUUUUUGUUUCUUCCUUCAAAACCCCAGGAGCUGCAGCUGGUUCUGGGCAGGGCUGGAGGUCCCCUGAGCUGCUGGGGGCCGUGGGGCUGGCACCAAAACUGCUGCAGUGGUUCUUUGGGUCACCCAAAUGAGAACAACCUUUCUGCAGGAGUUCUGUUCCCGUUGUGCACCACAGCAUGAUGGGGUGGUGGAGUUUACUGGAAACGUGGGCAGUGUUCACACUGAAGUAAGACAACUAAAGGACAGCCUGUCCCUGAACAUAAGGACUUUGAUUCGUGGAAGCUGGGAGCUGUCCCUGAAGGAUAAAGGACACCCCGAGGUAACACUGGCAUCCCAGCACCUCGGACAUGGUUUGAACCCCUCCUAGCAUGGACUGGCAUCACAGAGAAGCAACUCAGGCAAGGCAGGCUCCAAGGGUGUCUGGAUCAACAAAGUAAGCAGCAAGAAUUCUGCAGAAAUAGAGUUGUUUUGCCAAGUUUUUCUGUGCUCAGUGUUUGGUAGUGUGGGUGCCAGCGAUGAGUCAAGCAUGUUGGGUCUGAAUGUUUGAAGGGUGUGAGAACCCCGGGUGAACCCACGGUUGAGGUGCCCUGGUUGGGCUGGGGUGCCUCAUGUGCACGAGUAAGUAUUUCAUGACUCCAUAAUUUGCAUCCCAGCCUCUCCUUGGUCGGCACACACCAGUUCUGGGUUUGCUGGAAGGUGCUGGGCCCCCCUUCCCAGCCAGGUAUCCAGUUCUCAGUGCCCAGUUCCUGCUCCACUCUGGGGCAGGCACAUGGGGAAACUGCAGGUGAGCGGUCUCUCCCCUGGUGUGGGACCCCUCCAUGGGAUCCUGGCUUGGGCCCGGUGAUUUUCCUGGUGUGUUUCAGCACCAACCCUCUGGGAUCAGGGAGCAGCAGCUGCAGCACGGCCUGUAGGGCUGGGGGGUUCCUGGCAGCUCCCCACUUCCACCACAGGAUCUAUCCCAGCUUGAUGAUGCUGGCGGCUCCUGGGCCUGGCUGCCAGCCAUGUCUGCUGGAGGAGAAGGGGACUUCUGGGGGCUGGGGGGCCUCCCUCCCUCUGAUGCAGGCACUGGCUGAUGUCUUCUCCACAGAUUCUGCCCAGAGUGACUGCCGGCAGGACAGGCUCCUCCAGCCUGGCACUGGCUCUGCCAGAGCUGGGGAGAGUUCAGACCAGCAGGGACUGGUUUCCACUGGGUUUCAGCCCUUCAGCAUCAUCUGCACAGGGAGAUGCCCAAGGACUGGAGCUGGCAGCAUUAGGUCACUCCCAUGGCAGGGCCUUGGGGUGGCUCUGAACUCUGUUUGAAGCCAUGGUUUUACCUAAAACCUACUUUUUCAGCUCAAAUGACGCUGCAGUGUGAGCAGAGGACUCUCCAGGGACCUGCAGCAUCUCCUGCAGCCCUGUCGGUGAGAAGGCGAAGCCGGCCUGGCCGGGCACAGGGAGCAGCGGCUGUCCCGGUGCUGCCGGUCCCGUGGGAGGCGGCCCCGGCGAUGCUGCGUGGCUGUGCCUGAGCUGACGCCUGGGGAGGGCUCAUCCCAGCACCUGGCAAGGAGUGUAGCCCCCGGGCGGGACAGAAGGAGGAGUGCUAGAACCCCAGGAAGAAGCCGGGGUGCCGGGAGAUGCUGCGGGGACUGCACAGCUCCAGCACAGCAUGGCUUUG